ACAGAGGGGGCAGCUUUGGGCUGUCAGUCAGAAACUGUCUGAAAAGAAGGAAAUAAUGCCUUGGUAGAUGUGAACGGUGAGGAAGAAUGAUGACGCUACUCUGUGUUCCAUGGCUCUGUUCCUGGAGAAAGAACGGGACUUGAUCAAUGGAGAUGUUUGGCGGAAGGAUCCCAGUGAUAAAGAGACAACCUCGUUCAUGCGUUCUGCAGUCUUCCCUCUGAACUCCAAUGCAGAAGGUCCCUGACAUCACCAUCCUUCGAAAGGUGGCUGACGCAAUCUCCUCUUGCCAGCUCUCUAGAGAAGUCUCACACUCAGGGAAUUUCUUUCAGACGAUUUCUGUCUGACAGCCCAAAUCUGCCCCCUCGCAUGUCUUGCAUACAGAGUAAGGGCCAGGGAAGUCCAGGCACUGCUGCUUGCUGGGCUGCUCCUUCUUCGCCUCACGCCCAUCAUUUUCCACCUUCCC